GAUGAAGAACGCAGCGAAAUGCGACAAGUAAUGUGAAUUGCAGAAUUCCGUGAAUCAUCGAAUCUUUGAACGCACAUUGCGCCCGCCAGCACUCUGGCGGGCAUGCCUGUCCGAGCGUCAUUUCAACCCUCGCGCCGUCCCUCCAGGGGGCUCGGCGCGGUGUUGGGGGACACGGCCCCGGCCGCCCCCGAAAUGCAGUGGCGACCCCGCCGCGGCCCCUCCAGCGCAGUAAGCACGCUCGCUACGGGAGGCCCGGUGGACGCGUCCGCCGUAAAACGCCCAACUCUUCAGAAGUUGACCUCGGAUCAGGUAGGGAUACCCGCUGAACUUAAGCAUAUCAAAAGCGGAGGA
rnacentral:misc_RNA from 1 species